rnacentral:rRNA from 1 species
UACCGAGGUCUCAAGCGUUGUUCGGAUUCAUUGGGCGUAAAGGGUGCGUAGGCGGCGCGGUAAGUCGGGUGUGAAAUCUCGGAGCUUAACUCCGAAGCUGCAUUCGAUACUGCCGUGCUUGAGGACUGGAGAGGAGACUGGAAUUUGCGGUGUAGCGGUGAAAUGCGUAGAUAUCGUAAGGAAGACCAGUGGCGAAGGCGGGUCUCUGGACAGUUCCUGACGCUGAGGCACGAAGGUCAGGGGAGCAAACGGG